AAGUCGUAACAAGGUUUCCGUAGGUGAACCUGCGGAAGGAUCAUUACUGAGUAUCCGGAGCAGCGCUUUGGCUGCUCCACGCACUCGCUCUUCUCUGCCAUCUUUUCACAGUUGCUUUGGCAGUGCUGCCAAGGGACCGAACCACUCUUGCUUGCGAAUAGUUGCGUUUCCUGUCUGAAUACUUAAUAACUAAAACUUUUAACAAUGGAUCUCUUGGUUCUG
rnacentral:misc_RNA from 1 species